CUCAGCACCACCAAAAUAACAAUCCUCUCCAAGCUGCUGAAUGUCGACUUUCAGCUCCAGGUGACAGUAACCAGCACACAUUUUGAUUUCACCACAGAGCCAAACAGCAAUGCUGUUACAAAGCAGCAGGAAGAAGAAAGGAGCUCGCUGUGAUUUCCUGGGGCUUGACACUUCCCUCCCAGGAUCUCCUGACCCAGGGCAACAAGAGAAUAUCCGAGAGGACGCCCAGUGAGCUUCCAGUCUUGAUAGCACAGCACAAGUCAGAGGCCUCGAACCAGACCAACACAUGCACAACCAUAAGCAAAGAAGUGUG